AUUAACGAAUAAAUUGUCAGUUUCUGUUAUUCGUAGCAGAAACUAAAAAAAAAAAAAAAAAAAAUGUAAAUUUCGGUUCGACUUUUUAUGCUGCUGUUUUCAGACGGUGGAUUAGAACAGAAAAUUAGAUACGUCCAGCGAAGUGCUUCCAUUUAUUUUUAUUUUUUUUUCGUCGUGAAAACUACGAAUCUCGUUGCGUAUUUUUCUCGUCAACAUGCAAAGUAUCGUAAACGCUGGGUUCAUAUCUGCAGAAAAUUUUUUUAUUCUAGAAAAUCGGUCAGCGACAGAAGCCGUCUCGACCAUCUGUUGUGUCAUUGAGAGACGAGACUAGAGCUUAGCGUUAUGUAUUAGUUUUUGUUAUGUAAUCUCGGUCUGGUUUCGUAAAGUAGUGAUAACACUAGGGACAUUUCCGAUAUGUACUUUCCAUAUAUCGACAAUUUAGAUAUCAGAAAAUGCAAUUUAAAUCAUAAGUUUGAUUUUGAUAGAAAGAAGAAGAAAAGGAGGUAGGGAGGGAAAAAAAAUCGAAAUUCCAAAAUAAAGUUCUUCGAGGAAUCGAAUACAAAUUACCUUUUUGGUAUUCGUCAAUGGAAUGGAAAAUUUUUAUGUUUUUAAUAUGGAUAGUAAGGUUGUGUGUCAAGAAAAUUGUAUAGUUAUGAAGGAUUGUGCACCCUCGUUAUUAAUGAGAAUUCAUGUAAAAUGCUGCACGCUAUACCGUUGCCUUGGUGAAGUGAGUUAGAGCCAUGUUUUCUCAUGUGAGAAGUGACUUUCGUCUAGCUGAAAAUCUUAUAUAUUUUUUUAUAAAUAUUCUGUUUAAAUAUUGCAAUUUUUUUUUUCUUUCGACGACAAAAAAAAAGUGUAAAAAGUUGAUUUAAUUUCCUAAUUUAUGCUCCGCUGCC
rnacentral:lncRNA from 1 species